GGAGAAAUGGCUCAAAGGUUAAGAGCACUGACUGCUCUUCCAGAGGACCUGGGUUCAAUUCCCAGUAUCCACA
rfam:Neotoma lepida isolate 417 scaffold_229, whole genome shotgun sequence.